AUUCCUUGUGUCCUGAAUUUUUAGAUUAUUAAUAAUGAAAAUGUUUAUAAAACAUAAUUUAUUUUUCAAAAAUCAGUGUUUGUUUACUAUUUUCAUAACACUCAUCUUAGUAGAAUUAGACUCAUUACUUUUCAUGUAAAUCUCUCGAUUCUCAUACAUAGCAUCAUGUUUCAGAUACUAUAAGGGAAAGUUUAUUGUCUGGCAAUAAAUAAAGCUACAGGGAGAAGACAUGGAAUAGGAGACAUGUAGACCAAGCCUAUAUUAGCAUUCCCUACCCUGUGCUGAUCCUUCCACAGACUAGAAUCCACAGGUAAAAAUUAGUCAUACUGCACUGGGAAUCUGGGCCCUUGUUUUCAUUGAAACAGAUUGGAAUAAAAAGGAGGAAAUUACAUUUUUCUAUUAAUGUUUGGUUUUCUAAAAAUCUUUUAAAAGUACAAAACAAAAAUUCUGUCCUGUUCUUCAAAAAUCUAAUGUAAUUUCAUGGUAUCAUAUGAAUGGCUAACAACACUCAGUAACCUUGAUUCCCAAACCAAACUUGAUUACACAUAAUUAAGUAUGGUGUGCACCAAAUGUGUCAACAUUGCAGCUUUAGAGGUUAAGAGAGCCCGCAAGCCUAAGAUGGCACAUCUAGUCUCCAGCAGAAGGAAAUGUAGUUAUCCUGGCUGGCAGAUUUUCUAAGGUGCGGAAUAUGAAUUAGGCUUUGUAGCUGCUCAUUAAAUCUGGACAUAUAAAUUAGUAUAAAAUAACAAAUGUCUUGGAAUUUCUAAGAGCUUUUUUUAUCAUUCCCUGUUUAAUUUUAAAAUGUUUAUCUGUUUUCCACAUCAUAAUAUCAAAGUCCUUACACUGGUUAGUAUCACUCAUAAUGGGUACAAAUCUAUCAUCUUUAUUCUCUAAGAAUGAGAGUUACAGAAAGCAGGAACGUGUCCCCAAAAGGGUUUCUAACAUAUUUCUCCACAUAUUUCUAGUAAAUUAUUAGGAGUAACUAUUUAUUCAUCCAGGGUCUUACAUUGUAUCAGCACUAUAGUGUUUAAUUUCCACGGCAUCCGAAGACAAAUAUUUAAUGAUCAGGAGUUGAAAAAGAUCCACACAUACCAUAAAAUACAGGGAUAUAUAAAUAAGCAAUAUUUCAUUAGAAGGUAUAUAUACGUCUCUAGUUAGUAGAUAAAAAGUUAUGUAAUUUGAAUAUUAUUCUCUUUCAUAUGGAAGACAGAACAUGGGAGCUCAGUAAAAGACUGUACUUGAAGAGCAAGCUGAAAUUUGCCCUUUAGAUCAGAAGUCAUAUUUUAGCAUUUGGAAAUAACCAAAGACAUUAUGACAUAAACUUGUCAACCACAAGUAUAAAGAAGAUAAAGCACUUCUCUACUGUGACAGAUUCUUGACCAUGGAGAACAAUCGGCAUACAAAACAAUCAUGUAGCACUUAACUAAGUCAAUAUAUGGAGUAUUUAGAAAUGUGCUAAGAAGAGACUAAAACUGAGAGCACAAAGUGGGAACAGCAGCCAGCUUGCUGCGCACUUCCCCCAGCUCUACCACCUGUCCGUCUGGCAAAGAUCCUCGGGCAAAAAUGGUCAAGGGAAGAUAAUGUUCAAUGAGCAAAUGGACUGGAUGAAUAUGUUCCUGGAGGAGAGAGGGUCCAAGUGCCAGGACAAGGUUGUGGAACGGCAGGAGAGGAGAGCUUGCAGGGAGUUGCAGGUGAGGCAACAGGACAGUAUCUUUGCCUCCCUGAUGACAGUAAUGGAGAGCCUGGCUGUGUGCCUGGAGCAUAACCCCUCUCACUCCGAACCCCAAUCACCCUAUACAAAGUAACUUUUUCCUCCUCCCCACAGUUCCACAGCCUCCAUCUCCACAGGCCCCAAGAAGGGGGACGGUCCUCAAGUGCAGCCUUAACUUCUUUUAUUUCCCUGCUGUCUUCCCUAAUCAAUAACAAACAAACAAAACAAAAACAUGAUCUCUGGACAACAGUCUCUUUAUUGCUUGUACUGCAGGGGCAAACUGGAAUGAAUGCAGAGGCACCUCACUGAAAACAACAAGCAUGAGACUCAAAAUUGGCCAUUCAUAAAACUUUCUUUCAAAGCCUCUCUGAUUUGUGCUGCCCCAUGCUGUGCUCUCCUUAUUGCCCUGGUGUCUGACUGAUCAAAAUUUUUGGCUAGGUGCUCUGCCUCAGCCCCCCUCCCUGUCCGAUAAGAUUCCCCCUUGCUCUCACAAAGAUUAUGAUGUAUACACUGAGGUCCAACCUAGUCAGAAGACUCCUAACCCUUCCCUUUAAACAUUUAACCAUCAUUCUGCACUUCCUCAGCCUGUAGUUGAACUGCUUCUUACUGGGGUCCAGGAGUUCUUAAAGAUGCACCAUUCUCAAUCAUCCACGCUGAUGUCAGUGAAAUAGCUUUUGUGAUCUACCAGUGCCUGCAGCACCAUGAAGUACCCCCUGUGAUUAAUGUACUCUUUGGCAAGGUGAUCUGGGGGCAGAUAUGGAGAUAUGUGUUCUGCCUAUCCCCCACCGCAGUUAAAGAAUCCCAUCACAGCAAAGCCAUCUACUACAGUAUCCAAGCUUCCCAGAAUCACAGCCCUCCAUAGCAGAAAGGUAUUGAUCACCUUUGCUACUUAUAUAACGAGAGCUCCCACCGUAGUAUUCCCCACUCCAAACUGAUUUCCAGCUGACCAGUAGCUGUCUGGCAUUGCAAGCUUCCACAGGGCUAUUGCCAUGCGCUUCUCCAUGGUCAGAGUGGGUCUUGUUCUGGUAUUCUUGUGAUUCAGAGUGUGGGAAAGCCAUUUGCAAAGUUCCAAGAAAAUGGCCUUGUGCAUUUGGAAGUUUUGCAACCACUGCUAAUUGUCCAGUAGCUGCAUCAGAGUGCAGUCCUGCUAGUCUGUGCUUGUCUCACAGCACCAGAACUGGCAUUUGUAGGGGAUCCUGGACAGCCCUGUCUUGACAAUAAAUGUCAGCUUUGACCACAGUGCGGAUCUCUGAAAAGCAAAACCCAGGACUGUCUCAAGUCUGCAGGACUGUCUCAAGUCUGGUGCACAAAAGCCCACAGGCAAGGCUGGGGAAGCUUUGAGAGGCAGGAAUGUUUUCGAUUAAGCGGUACUGAGAGACGUCAAGAAUACAUGAUAAACAACCUUGUACUGGUACUUCUGUUUCAGAUAAACAAAAAUUACAGAUGAAGCCAUAAAAUUGUUAACUACAAUUUGCAACAUUCUGAGUAGCAGGAAGUACCCAAAAUAGGGCCCUAGGUAUUUUAGGUAUCUUACAUAAUAUGUAAUAAAUUGGUAAAUACUAUUAGAAUGACCAAGUCUCACUUUGCUAUAAAAUGGGCUUAGUAAGAAGAAUUGAUGGAAGGGAGUGAGCAGGAUUGACCCACAGGUCCUGCUCGCUGUAACUAGAAGUAAAUAGGCCCUUCACAUCGGCUACAGCAGUAGAUGGCAUUCCAAGGGGUGGGAAUCAAAGAGACCAUGACCUCCUGACUCGUACUGUAGGUAGCAUAUGGGUGAGGUGUAAGUGAGCUGGCUUUAUUAUUGUAUUAUAGUAGAUCUUCUAUUAAUUGCUUUUGCAUUG